UACCCAAUAAAUCAUAUCCCUACUUCCUCGCGGUACUGGCCGGAGUACGAGCAACCUGAGGGAAGAUCGGGUAACCGACCCGGAGGGAACUUUGGUUGUAUGCUGACAGGGACG
rnacentral:ribozyme from 1 species